rnacentral:sRNA from 1 species
UAUCGCAGCCCUCCUUGGGCGUUUCCUCCCUAGACUUGGGCCGCUUGUUCAUUACAAGCGGCCUCUUUUUCUCGGUCG